UACAGAGGUGGCAAGCGUUGUUCGGAAUUACUGGGCGUAAAGGGCGCGUAGGCGGCCUUCUAAGUCAGACGUGAAAUCCCCCGGCUUAACCUGGGAACUGCGUCUGAUACUGGAGGGCUUGAGUAUGGGAGAGGGAUGUAGAAUUCCAGGUGUAGCGGUGAAAUGCGCAGAUAUCAGGAGGAACACCCGUGGCGAAAGCGGCUCUCUGGGACGGUACUGACGCUGAGACGCGAAAGCGUGGGGAGCAAACAGG
rnacentral:rRNA from 1 species